ACUCAAAUGAAUUGACGGGGACCCGCACAAGCGGUGGAGCGUGUUCUUUAAUUCGAUGAUAAUCGAAGAACCUUACCCGGACUUGACAUCCUACGAAUUUCUCCGAAAGGAGAAAGUGCCUUCGGGAGCGUAGUGACAGGUGCUGCAUGGCCGUCGUCAGCUCGUGUCGUGAGAUGUUGGGUUAAGUCCCUCAACGAGCGCAACCCUUAUGGUUAGUUGUAUUUUUCUAGCCAGACUGCCCCGGUAACGGGGAGGAAGGAGGGGAUGAUGUCAGGUCUUUAUUGCCCUUACGUCCGGGGCUAGAAACGCGCUACAAUGGCCGGUACAAUGGGCAGCCAACCCGCGAGGGGGAGCAAAUCCCAUCAAAACCGGUCCCAGUUCGGAUUGCAGGCUGAAACUCGCCUGCAUGAAGUCGGAAUCGCUAGUAAUCGCAGAUCAGCACGCUGCGGUGAAUACGUUCCCGGGUCUUGUACACACCGCCCGU
rnacentral:rRNA from 1 species